rnacentral:rRNA from 1 species
UACGAAGGGUGCAAGCGUUACUCGGAAUUACUGGGCGUAAAGGGUGCGUAGGUGGUCGUUUAAGUCCGUUGUGAAAUCCCUGGGCUCAACCUGGGAAUGGCAGUGGAUACUGGACGGCUAGAAUGCGGUAGAGGGUAGUGGAAUUCCCGGUGUAGCGGUGAAAUGCGUAGAUAUCGGAAGGAACACCAGUGGCGAAAGCGGCUUCCUGGUCCAGCACCGACGUUCAGGCACGAAAGCGUGGGGAGCAAACAGG